CCUACCACCUUCUCUCUCUCUAAAAAUCCAAAACCUCUCUCUUCUGGGAUUUCCUCUCUCUCUCUCUCUAAAAUUUCCACUUUCUGCUCAGGUCUCUACUCUCUAUCUACACUUUCCUCCUUGGUAAACCCUUCCCUUGCUUUCUCUCUCAUCCGAAGAUAGAAGAAGUCUUUCUGCAAUACUCUCUCUCUUUACGCCAUUGCAGUGUUGGAGCUCCAUGCUUUUUGAGCUCAACCAUGCUAAACAGCACAAAUGAAGGAGAGUGUGCGUCAAAUCAAGGUGGUAUAGUUCCUGAACAUGAUGCCGCUCAAGAAAACUUGGCAGUAAAUGUUGACACUGUUGCAGAGAAGGCAUUGUAUGAACUGAAAAGACAUGAAAGUGGUGAUCAGUAUAUGGGCUUUGAAUCUGGGGAUGCUCCAAAGGAAAUGGCAAAGGAAAUCACACCUAUUGAAAAGGCUGAAGUGUCAGACCAUGUCGAUCCAUUUGUGGGUAUGGUGUUUGAAUCUGAGGAAGAUGCAAAGGAAUACUACCUUGCAUAUGCUUUGCGUGUGGGGUUUAUCAUAAGGUCCAAUAGGGUCUUGCGUUCAAAGCGUGACGGAACAAACAUUGGGCGAGAUUUUGUGUGCUCCAAAGAAGGUUUUCGUGCAAAGAAAUACCAAGGAACCCUAAGGCCACGACCGAAAACUAGGGAAGGUUGCAAGGCCAUGUUACGUGUAAAGAAGGAAGACAGUGGAAAGUGGGUUGUCUCAAAAUUUUCCGAGGAGCAUAGUCAUGCAUUGGUGCCUCCAAAAAAAGUGCCUCGUCCAAGAACUCGUAGGCAACCUGAUGCUAUUGGAAUUUCCAAUAAUUCUUUCAAUGAUUCAGGAAUAAAGUCAAGCAAUGGGUCUUUAUUGGGGAGCCAGCCAGUUGGCCCGACCAGCUUUGGGUGCAACUUGCAAGACUGCAAGAAUCAUAUCCAGUGCAUUCGGAAAACGAACCUUGAAAAUGAUGCUCAACAGGUACUACAAUAUUUCAAUUGUAUGCAAGCAAAGAACCAAGCAUUCUUUUAUGCAACUCAAAGUGAUGAAGAAGAUCAUGUAGCCAAUUUUUUCUGGGUGGAUGCCAGGUCAAGGAUAGCAUACAGUUACUUUGGUGAUGUUGUUAGCUUUGACACUACGUAUAAGACGAAGAGGUAUGGAAUGCCUUUCGCUUGUUUUGUAGGGGUCAACCAUCAUAACCAGUAUGUCGUGUUUGGAUGUGCAUUGCUUCGAGACGAAACAGAAGAAUCACUUGUGUGGUUGUUUAGUACAUGGCUUGAAGCUAUGUCGGGUCGCCAUCCAGUUGCAAUAAUUACUGACCAAAAUGCAGCCAUGACAUUAGCCGCUGCUAAGGUGUUCCCAAGAACUGGCCAUCGAUUUUGCAAGUGGCACAUUCACAGAAAAUUCCAAGAGAAGUUGGGCCUUGUGGCCCGAAGGCAUCCAAAUUUCAAAGGAGAUUUCUCUGAAUGUAUCAAUAUGUCUGGGCCCAUGAGUGAGUUUGAAUCAUGUUGGAUGUCUCUCAUUUAUAAAUAUGACCUUAGGGAUAAUGCAUGGCUCCAGUUGCUCCACAAUAGUCGUGAACAAUGGUUGCAUGUUUACUUGCAAGACGUAUUCUUCACUAAUAUUUCUACUGGCGGGCGAAGUGAAGGAAUCUACACUUUUUUUGAUGGGUACUUGAAUGCAAACUCCAGCUUGCAAGUGUUUGUUAAACAAUGCGAGAAGGCCCUUGACAAGCAGUAUGAAAUGGAACUUGAAGAGGACUUCAAUACAAGUUUUGACAAACCGAAUAUGAAGACAGGAUUUCCCAUGGAAACCCAAGUGGCAGAUAUUUAUACGAGAGUAAUGUUCCUGAAAUUUCAGGAUGAGUUAUUAGAAAGUCUUCGUUUUGUCGCUGAAAUAACUGAAGAGGAUGCACCCACUAGCACAUUUAGGGUGGCUGAAUAUGGGGCUCAAAAGCCAGCAUACAUUGUCACUUUCAAUGCAGUUGACGUAAGAGCGAGUUGUAACUGUCAAAUGUUUGAGCAUGGUGGCAUUCUUUGUAGGCAUGUUUUAAUAGUCUUCAGAAUGAAAAAUGUCAUGGAGCUCCCAUCCCACUAUAUCGUGAAACGGUGGACAAGGAAUGCCACAAAUGGCCCUGUAUUUGAUGAGAAUGGGGUAGAAUUGCAAGCUGAGUCUCACACAUCUCGAAUAUUGAGAUAUAAUGAACUAUGCCGAUUGGCCAUUAAAUGUGCAACCGAAGGGGCAGCGAAUAAAGAUGUCUUCAAUUUUGCAAUGCGUACUCUACGAAAAGCUCUCGAAGAUAUUAUUGGUGCAAGAAGAAUUGUAGGGCCAGUUGCUCAGCCUAGCACAGGCAUACCAGCAAAUGGUGGUAUUAUUGAAACAACUAUUUGCGAAGUAAGUCAAUCAGAAAGUACAAAAGGACAUCCUCCUAGAAUUAAACACUCUUUGGAGAAGCAAACCAAGAGGAAAAGACAUUGUGUUAUUUGCAAAGGUGUUGGCCAUGACCAACGCAAAUGUCCAAAUAAAGCCAAUACGGGGCCCACUUCUGAUAUCGUUGGGUUUGUGGCCCCAAUAAGUCAGCAGAAUGGUGGGAUCGGUGAAGAGCGUUUGGAAUUCUUUGAUGGAACUACGGUUGUUCUAACAAGUUCUCGCCUCGAUAUGAAUGAGCCUUCUGCCUUCCAUGAUUCCGAGACUGAUCGUUCUUUCCAGUUUGCUGCCAUUUGAGAAACUUCCUUGUUGGUUCCUAUCUGUGUGCAGCCAGGGUCUUGCAAGUGUUCCAAUACGCAUAUUUUCCUUCGAUUGAAUAUCAAGAUGUUUACCCUUUUUUGUGGAAGAUUAAUAUCAUAAUCCAAUGGGUAUGACAGUCUGUACUGCAAACAAGGAGGCAUCCACCAUCUGUUCCCAACAAUGGACGUUGGACAUGUGGAAAAACCCCACAAUUAUGAAGUAGGGGCCCAUGUUUUACAGAAAGUUAACCUGUAAUUAUACCAAGGAGAUUGGUUUUGUCAUGUGCCGUGAAAGAAUGAAACUGGGGUUUAAAUGGGGUAAAAACUGAAGAUGUUGGAUUUACACAUAUAUGAUAACUGUCCAUUUUGGUCUUCUUGGGAUGGCAGGACUUCUUAGUUCUUAUAUAAAUUUGUACAGGUGACAUCACUAGUUUAUUUUUAUGUUUAGAAGCCCCAUUUAAUUUUUCUCUAUUUGGUUAAGAGUGUUGCGGCAUUGGAUUUCAAGAUUUGCAUUUUAGAUUGAUAGAUCACUGACUUCUUUUUUUCUUUAUUUUUUUCUUCAUUAGAAAGAGAGCUCCUUGCUUUUUUUUAUAUAUUUUUGGGCAAUUUUAAAAAUAAAUUUUGGUGGAUCCAAGUUAUAAUAAGUUCAUUCACAAGGGAAAUUGUACUUGAGUUCGAGUCAAAUGUCUCAUCAUCAUCAUCAUAGUUUUUUCUUAAUUAAUUGGGGUCGGCCACACGAAAAUUGUACUUGCAUUCGAGUCGAAGGCCUAAGAGGAAGAAUAAUGCUCCAUUAAUGUGGAGCUCUUCUGGAGCAUUGGUUGAGGUGAAAAAAUUGUAUACA